ACCAAGGCGACGAUCAGUAGCGGGUCUGAGAGGAUGAUCCGCCACACUGGGACUGAGACACGGCCCAGACUCCUACGGGAGGCAGCAGUGGGGAAUUUUGGACAAUGGGCGCAAGCCUGACUCCAGCAUGCCGCGUGUCUGAAGAGCUCGGGUUGUAAAGGACUUUUGUCAGGGAGCAAAACUUACUGGUUAAUACCUGGUGAGGUUGAGAGUACCUGAAGAAUAAGCACCGGCUAACUACGUGCCAGCAGCCGCGGUAAUACGUAGGGUGCAAGCGUUAAUCGGAAUUACUGGGCGUAAAGCGUGCGCAGGCGGACUUUUAAGCCAGAUGUGAAAGCCCCGAGCUUAACUUGGGAAUUGCGUUUGGAACUGGGAGUCUAGAGUCUGUCAGAGGGGGAUGGAAUUCCACGUGUAGCAGUGAAAUGCGUAGAGAUGUGGAGGAACACCGAUGGCGAAGGCAGUCCCCUGGGAUAAGACUGACGCUCAUGCACGAAAGCGUGGGGAGC
rnacentral:rRNA from 1 species